rnacentral:lncRNA from 1 species
GUCAGUGUUUUUAAGGUUUCGUCUCAUACGAACGUGUGUAAAUUUCACCAGAGCUUAUUGUUUUGGUUUAAUGACUUUAAUUAUUCCUGUUUUAAAAUUCUUUAAUCCUACAAAGUUGGUGGUCGACGUGCUGGGUUUCGCAGCAAAAGAAACUGAAGAAUCACUUGUAAUGAAGAGAAUUCUAUGCAGUAGUUUUCCACGUGUUUUCUCGCUUUCGUUCUUCUUAGACUGUAAAAAGAUGGGUCAAUCAUUUUAGGUUGUCUCAAUUCUCAACGCAAUGGUGAAUUCAUCUUCGGGAUCCAUACCGGAUUGAAACAGCACAGAAUUCGUUUUUUCUACAUCCGGAUGACCGGAUAAGCAGAGGUGGCAACAGUAAGUGAAGAAGAGAAGCCGACCAAAAUCUUGUAUCACAACCUAUGUCCAGCUCUGAUCCCAAAUGACUUCCGUCGACUCAAACAUCUGGUAGCUGCUAUCAUGUAGUGUGCUGGUUUCUUUCUGAUUCAAGUAUUGUUACUACACCCAAUGCUGGACCUCGCUAACGAUUCGAUUACGCUUGGCAGUGUCCUAAAUUCCUCAUCGGCCUAAUUGGAUAAUGAUAGUUUUAGUCAUUUCAACACUCUUACUCUCAGGUCGGUGAGCAUGUGCUUCCUUUUGCUUAAAAACUUACUUAAGAUAAUUUCCUUGAAGUAAGAGGUCGCUUGUGAAGCCCUGAUUUUUAUUGAAUUCAUAUGUUGCGGGAUUUUCCUGAUUCUUUUUACCGAUUUUGUUAUUACCGAUCAAAUUUUUUGACUUCCCAUUUACACAAAAUAACUGUAAAACCACACGGGAUAAGUACUCAAAAACCGCGCAGUAAUUUAAAUCCUUCGUUACACUAUAGCUAUAGGCAGAUUUAUUUGAGAAAACAGCGCAAUAGCAGAAGUUCUUUAGACAACUAUAUCCUAGUUGCGGAGAAGACAGUUAACUGGCGUUUGAAGUGAACCUGAAAGCCAUUCAUACUCAGUUAUUAUUGCUUAUUCUUUCACGUGUAGUACCAUAUUUCACCACUCGAAUGACUUUGAUCAUUAUUUCUUAACUUUUCAACCAAAUCGUUUGAACCUCCCUUCGAUCGGAAAUUUCUGUUCGCGUUAUAGUUUGUUUUCGAGUGAACUAGUUCCCUUGUCUCUAACAUCACUAAAUCCAAUUUCUAAAUUUCGUUGCGGUAAUUGUAAGUGGGUUGAAAAAUAUUGAGUUGAAAUCUUGGAUUUGUGUGUGUCUGCGACAAAUUAUUUGAUUAUUUUCCCCUCUUCUUUUUUUUUUUUUUGUUUUCAUUUAAAUUGUUACUCAUCAAGAUUUGAUUUUGACCGAGAUGCCCAGCAAAAUGUUAGGCUACUGCAUAUGUACCUAUAAUACGGCAGAUGGGAUUUUGUUGUUGGGGUAGGACCGAACUACCUGUACUAACAUAAAUUUCGACUUGAUUAAUAUGCCAGCAGCGGUGCGUGUGAGAUGUGAUUAGUGGCUGUAACGCGGCCGUUGUCUCGCAAUAAAGUCACGCCAAAUGGCCACUUAAAAAUGGCGCGGAUGUCAGACGGCAGGCUCUUUACUUUGCGAAACGCGGCGGUCAAUUCCUCUUCUAUAAAAGGCUCCCUGUGUAGAUAGUGUAGUAGUUGUCUCAUUGGCACCAGCACGAAACUUUUGCGCUUCAUCGGAGGCCGGGCUUAACUUAAAUAGAAUAAAAAAACGCUGAAUCUCUCGUAAUUAAUGGAUUGCUUUGGCAUUUCGAGAAUUGUGAUAUUUUCCUUUUUAUUGUUUUUAAUGCCAAAUCUUGACGGGAUCACUGGUAAUCUCCCCAUAAAGCAACCUCUACGAUUUUUGAAACCAAUUCUCUAUGGUAGAAACAUUUUAAAGCGGAAGACAAACGAGGAUUAUGAUGUUCAAGUGACUUCGGUUGAAUUAUUGCCGCAGUUGGCAAGUUCCAUCGUUCUGUCAGGAUCAGUCGGUGAUGGACAUUCAAAAAACUUACCACCAAAUCUGUUGUCGGCAUUAUUUACUAGCGACCAACAAGAGAUUUUCGGGUGCACUUGCGCUGAUCCAAACCCCUUAUUGGGUACAGUUGGACGAGGCUGUAUCACAACUUGUUUAACGUCAGAGACGUUGUGUUAUGGCCAGACUUGUACCCGAACAACGACUUUUUCGGCUCUUUAUUCCCUACUGUCAGUGGAUCAAUUUAUCGGCGGGCAAAUAUUUCCCAUAUCGCGUGUGACUUCCACUCAAUUUUUGCAAUUCUUUGACAAAGAGUGUGAGUUGCUCGAAAGUCAGUGCAUCUUUUCAUCCGCAUCGACGCAAGCGAAAGUAAUCGGCGCAUUAGGGACAGGGGCUGCCAUCGCUUUAUCGGUUGGUAUUGCAAAAGACAUGAAAACUAAACCAGAUGAAGAGCAGUCUGAAGAAGAAUAUAAAGAAUAUGACGAAUAUUUUGAAGAGCAAAAAUAUUCCGGUCGAAAAUCCAAAAGUUAUUUCGAAAAUUUGAAAAGUUCGAUGGUUCCAAUCGAUGAGCAAUUUGAUGCGAUGCCCCGUAAUUUGUUUGGUUUUUCAUUUAGAAGACCAGCGCAACCUGCGAUUGGAACAUGCAGUUGUAGU